rnacentral:rRNA from 1 species
CCCUUAGAUGUUCUGGGCCGCACGCGCGCUACACUGAUGCAUUCAACGAGCCUAUCCUUGACCGACAGGUCCGGGUAAUCUUUGAAUCUGCAUCGUGACGGGGAUAGAUUAUUGCAAUUAUUAAUCUUCAACGAGGAAUGCCUAGUAGGCGCAAGUCAUCAGCUUGCGUCGAUUACGUCCCUGCCCUUUGUACACACCGCCCGUCGCUCCUACCGAUUGGGUGUGCUGGUGAAAUGUUCGGAUCGGCCGUUUGUCGCGGUUUCCGCGGUUCGUGGCUGAGAAGUUCAUUAAACCCUCCCACCUAGAGGAAGGAGAAGUCGUAACA